rnacentral:lncRNA from 1 species
GGACUGAAUAAUAAUGACAUGACCAGCAGUUUUCAUUUUGGAGUGUUUUUCAGAGGGUAACCAGUGUUUGGUUGUUUUUUUUUUUAAUUUCUACUGUCUCUUCUAGUUCUCAGAUAUCUGUCUAGUUUUCCUUUAUAAUUUAUUAAUCUUGCCUAGGCUCUUUUACUCAUCAUAGUUUUCAGCAUUCCUGGGUACUUGAAUGUUCUCCACUGUUAAUGUUGCCACUACGUCCACUGCUUUCACUGAACUGAAGUCAGGUCAGCAGAUUCAGGAGAGUGUCUUGAAAGGUUUUCUUUAUAUAGCUGAGCCUGUAAUUUUCAAAUUGGAAAAUGUAAGAAAUAGAAAUUCCGAAAAGAUGAAGACACAGAACAGCCAUCUCUUUAAGGAAGAUCAGCCCCUCACAAAUAAACAUUUGACCUAAAGGCAUGAAUAUAUCCUUAAUACCUUCUGAAAACAUCUUUUACAUACUGCAAAUUCUGGGCAGAAGUAAAGGGAUCCAUGGAAUGUGGAGCACUGCCAUACAUUUAUUCAUUUAUUUACAUGCACACAUAUACAUAUGAUAUAUAUACCCAAAUAUAUAACGUCAGUGCCUAUGUUUUAGUAAUUUUUAUCUCCUUUCCUGUUUUAUAUAUUUUUUAAAUUCUUUUCUAAAAGAAAUGGUUCUCUGUGAGGAGGAAUUCAGAAGGCUGCAGAAAAUCUAGAUAAUACAAAAACAAAAGAUAUUACUAUAGAUAUAAUUUUUAAAAAACAACAGUGCUAAGUGAGAAAAAUAUACUCAUGAAAAAUUACAGCUUCACAUUACAGUUUAUGAAAAAAAUGAUUUUAAAAAGUCCCUCAACAAUUUCCCUACCCUUAUGUUCUAUGAUAGAUAGAUAGAUAGAUAGAUAGAUAGAUAGACAGACAGACAGAUAGAUAGAUUAUGGUUGACAGACAGCAUGUUUAUUUCAAAAAUAAAAUGUUAGGUUUUAAACUCA